AUUUUCGCGGAGAGUUUGAUCCUGGCUCAGGAUGAACGCUGGCGGCGUGCUUAAUACAUGCAAGUCGAACGGAGACAGUAGCAAUAUUGUCUUAGUGGCGAACGGGUGAGUAACGCGUUGGUGACCUGCCCAGAAGCGGGGGAUAACAGUUCGAAAGGACUGCUAAUACCCCAUGUGAUCUUGAG
rnacentral:rRNA from 1 species